rnacentral:lncRNA from 1 species
GGCUUCCAGGGAUUCUCCUACUCCUCCACCCAUCUCACCAUAGGAGUUCUGGGAUUAUAGAAGCCACUGUCCGUUUCCACAUGGGUCCUGAGGACUCACGCUCAGGCCUUCGCGCUGUGCACCACGCGCUGUACACGCUGACUUCCAACGACUUUCCCAUGGGAUCUCAGGUCACAGGUUCAUCACAGCUACACGCUGACUUCCAACGACUUUCCCAUAGGAUCUCAGGUCACAGGUUCAUCACAGCUACACGCUGACUUCCAACGACUUUCCCAUGGGAUCUCAGGUCACAGGUUCAUCACAGCUACACGCUGACUUCCAACGACUUUCCCAUGGGAUCUCAGGUCACAGGUUCAUCACAGCUACACGCUGACUUCCAACGACUUUCCCAUGGGAUCUCAGGUCACAGGUUCAUCACAGCUACUCAUGGGCGUUGGGCAUCUGACUUCUGUCCACUGCACACUUCACACUUAGCAUACCUCCACGCCUGGCUAUGUACUCUGGUCACUCCCAACAGCUACCGUCACCUCUGGGAUGUGCUCAGUUCUGUGCAAAUGGUGCAUACUCUGUGUGCAGAGCCUCUCCCAGUCCUCUCCGAUUCCUCUGAAUUCUGAGAUAUCCACAUUACUCUUCCGACACCCGUUGGCUCAAACACUCCCUCGGUUACUGACAACUGUGUGUGUGUAACUUUUGUAUCUGAUACCAUCAUGGUGAUUAUGACCUCAAAACUACCUUGGAGAAGCUCAACAUACAGUUUUCUAACAUACAGUUUUGUCACCAUGCUCAUUUGUCUGCCUGUCUGUCCGGUAAGCUCCCUGAGGUCAGAGUUGUAUGGUCGCUAUCUAUGCUCCUCGCACUACUUCAGAUGAUUGUUUUAACAAAACAGGUGUUCGGUGCAUACAUUUGGAAUCACUGUCAUCUGCGGACGAGCAAAUGCAAUGGGCUUUGGGAUAACAAUAAUUCUGUAGAGUGCAAUGAGGUUUUAAAAGAGUGUAGCUUUUUACAUUCUCUUUAUAAAACAAAGAUAGCGAUGCCUUCCUUGAAUAGUUUUAUUAAAGGGUAGAACUAACCUAA